rnacentral:lncRNA from 1 species
CUUGCAUUUCCUUCACUUGACUUUAAAAACUGCUUUCUUUAGAUCAGAAUCAAGCUUUGCGACUCUGUCUGGGUAGCACUAGUGUUGGAGGUCAGUAUGGCGCUAUCUCUGCCCUCAGUAUCAACAAUGAUUGCUCAAGACUUCUUUGUGGCUUUGCUAAAGGACAGAUCACCAUGUGGGAUUUGGCCAGUGGAAAACUUCUAAGAUCAAUAACAGAUGCUCAUCCUCCAGGAACAGCAAUAUUGCAUAUCAAGUUUACAGAUGAUCCAACUCUUGCAAUUUGCAACGACAGCGGAGGCUCUGUUUUUGAAUUGACAUUUAAGAGAGUGAUGGGAGUGAGAACCUGUGAAUCUAGAUGUCUGUUCAGUGGUUCCAAGGGUGAAGUCUGCUGUAUUGAGCCUCUGCAUUCUAAGCCUGAGUUGAAAGAUCAUCCCAUCACACAGUUUUCAUUAUUGGCCAUGGCAUCCUUGACAAAAAUACUGGUCAUUGGAUUGAAACCAUCCUUGAAAGUAUGGAUGACUUUUCCCUAUGGCCGGAUGGAUCCUUCCAGUGUGCCACUGCUGGCCUGGCAC